rnacentral:lncRNA from 1 species
CUCUUCGGGGACGCACGGUUGGAAGUUGUACCGUGACGUGAUGGUCAGAUCGGAUGAUAGAAUUUUGGUGCGUAACAAUUCCAACUUUUGCUUCUGUGCCCUUCAAGUGUAUUUUAUCCGUGCCCCAGUUUUGCAGAUGAGGAGACUCGGACUUAAACCUCCCCAGCAUUAAGGCAAGAAAGGUGUCUCUGUUUUUUCCGAAGUGUGCCUGCUUGACUCCUUUGAUUUUUCUCUGGGAUUCUUCAUCCUCCAUCAAGUUGAUCGAUCCCUCUGGAUCUUGGUCAGUUUCCUGACAUCUCUAUGAAGUUCAGUGACCCAGACUGAGUCCACGUCUCAAAUAAGGUUCUGACUAAUGCAGAGUCUAACAGAAAGAUUACUGAACAUGUCAUGCACUAUUAAUAA